rnacentral:rRNA from 1 species
GUCAGAGUUUGAUCCUGGCUCAGGAUGAACGCUAGCGGCAGGCUUAACACAUGCAAGUCGAGGGGUAUAGUUCUUCGGAGCUAGAGACCGGCGCACGGGUGCGUAACGCGUAUACAAUCUACCUUUACAGAGGGAUAGCCCAGAGAAUUUGGAUUAAUACCUCAUAGUAUUUUCGAAUCGCAUGGUUUGAUUAUUAAAGUUCCAACGGUAAAAGAUGAGUAUGCGUCCCAUUAGCUAGAUGGUAAGGUAACGGC